UACGUAGGGGGCAAGCGUUAUCCGGAAUUACUGGGUGUAAAGGGUGCGUAGGCGGCAAUGCAAGUCAGUCGUGAAAGGUAUGGGCUUAACCCGUAAACUGCGAUUGAAACUGCAUAGCUAGAGUGCAGGAGAGGAAAGCGGAAUUCCUAGUGUAGCGGUGAAAUGCGUAGAUAUUAGGAAGAACACCAGUGGCGAAGGCGGCUUUCUGGACUGCAACUGACGCUGAGGCACGAAAGCGUGGGGAGCAA
rnacentral:rRNA from 1 species